AGUGAACGCUGGCGGUAGGCCUAACACAUGCAAGUCGAACGGCAGCACAGUAAGAGCUUGCUCUUACGGGUGGCGAGUGGCGGACGGGUGAGGAAUACAUCGGAAUCUACUUUUUCGUGGGGGAUAACGUAGGGAAACUUACGCUAAUACCGCAUACGACCUACGGGUGAAAGCAGGGGAUCUUCGGACCUUGCGCGAUUGAAUGAGCCGAUGUCGGAUUAGCUAGUUGGCGGGGUAAAGGCCCACCAAGGCGACGAUCCGUAGCUGGUCUGAGAGGAUGAUCGGCCACACUGGAACUGAGACACGGUCCAGACUCCUACGGGAGGCAGCAGUGGGGAAUAUUGGACAAAGGGCGCAAGCCUGAUCCAGCCAUACCGCGUGGGUGAAGAAGGCCUUCGGGUUGUAAAGCCCUUUUGUUGGGAAAGAAAAGCAGCAGGUUAAUACCCCGCUGUUCUGACGGUACCCAAUGAAUAAGCACCGGCUAACUUCGUG
rnacentral:rRNA from 1 species